UACGUAGGGGGCAAGCGUUGUCCGGAUUUAUUGGGCGUAAAGAGCGUGUAGGCGGCCAUGCAGGUCAGCUGUGAAAACUCGAGGCUCAACCUCGAGACGUCGGUUGAAACCGUAUGGCUAGAGUCCGGAAGAGGAGAGUGGAAUUCCCGGUGUAGCGGUGAAAUGCGCAGAUAUCGGGAAGACACCUAUGGCGAAGGCAGCUCUCUGGGACGGUACUGACGCUGAGACGCGAAAGCUGGGGAGC
rnacentral:rRNA from 1 species